rnacentral:rRNA from 1 species
CCCAGACUCCUACGGGAGGCAGCAGUGGGGGAUAUUGCACAAUGGGGGGAACCCUGAUGCAGCGACGCCGCGUGGGUGAAGGAGCGUUUCGGCGCGUAAAGCCCUAUCGGCAGGGAAGAAGGAGGACGGUACCUGACUAAGAAGCCCCGGCUAACUACGUGCCAGCAGCCGCGGUAAUACGUAGGGGGCAAGCGUUAUCCGGAUUUACUGGGUGUAAAGGGGGCGCAGACGGCAGCGCAAGCCAGGAGUGAAAGCCCGGGGCCCAACCCCGGGACUGCUCUUGGAACUGCGCGGCUGGAGUGCAGGAGGGGCAGGCGGAAUUCCUGGUGUAGCGGUGAAAUGCGUGGAUAUCAGGAGGAACACCGGUGGCGAAGGCGGCCUGCUGGACUGCGACUGACGUUGAGGCCCGAAAGCGUGGGGAGCAAACAGGAUUAGAUACCCCAGUAU